rnacentral:rRNA from 1 species
CCUGCGGAGGGAUCAUUACACAAUACAAUAUGAAGGCUGUCCGCAGCUGGAGUAUUUUAUUACCCUUGUCUUUUGCGCACUUGUUGUUUCCUGGGCGGGUUCGCUCGCCACCAGGACCACCAAAUAAACCUUUUUUAUGCAGUUGCAAUCAGCGUCAGUACAAACAAUGUAAAUCAUUUACAACUUUCAACAACGGAUCUCUUGGUUCUGGCAUCGAUGAAGAACGCAGCGAAAUGCGAUACGUAGUGUGAAUUGCAGAAUUCAGUGAAUCAUCGAAUCUUUGAACGCACAUUGCGCCCUUUGGUAUUCCAAAGGGCAUGCCUGUUCGAGCGUCAUUUGUACCCUCAAGCUUUGCUUGGUGUUGGGCGUUUUUGUCUUUGGUCGCCCAAAGACUCGCCUUAAAGUGAUUGGCAGCCGGCCUUUCUGGUUUCGCAGCGCAGCACAUUUUUGCGCUUGCCAUCAGCAAAACGGCAAUCCAUCAAGCCUCCUUCUCACGUUUGACCUCGGAUCAGGUAGGGAUACCCGCUGAACUUAAGCAUAUCAAUA